CCCGGUCGUCCUAGGAAGAGAAGUAUUGUUGAUCCUGUGUUUGAGAGCCAAUUAACAGUUAACAGGGAAUAAAGAGAAGAAGACCUUCGAGGUGACAUGUAGCAAAUGCGAAAAAAGGUCACUAUUAUAAGACAUGUAAGGGAGCCUCAAGGGAUCCAAUUGGCAACCAAAGAAGAAGAAGGAAAGACAAUCAAAGGUUGGGUGUGUGAACUUCUUCCCCACUAUGCCAACAUUGUCAGAGUUGUUACUUGAAGAGCUCACCAACUUUUCUUUCCAUGGACGACAGAUUGAACCUGAUGAAUGCUCUUUCAUGUUCAUCAUUAAAGG